GACGAACGCUGGCGGCGUGCCUAACACAUGCAAGUCGAGCGGGGUGAGUUCUUCGGAACGAUCCUAGCGGCGGACGGGUGAGUAACACGUGGGUAACCUGCCUCAAAGUGGGGGAUAGCCUUUCGAAAGGAAGAUUAAUACCGCAUAACCCAUAGCUUCCGCAUGGAAGCAAUGGUAAAGAUUUAUCGCUUUGAGAUGGACCCGCGGCGCAUUAGCUAGUUGGUGAGGUAACGGCUCACCAAGGCCACGAUGCGUAGCCGACCUGAGAGGGUGAUCGGCCACGUUGGAACUGAGACACGGUCCAGACUCCUACGGGAGGCAGCAGUGGGGAAUAUUGCACAAUGGGCGCAAGCCUGAUGCAGCAACGCCGCGUGAGUGAUGAAGGUCUUCGGAUUGUAAAGCUCUGUCUUUGGGGACGAUAAUGACGGUACCCAAGGAGGAAGCCACGGCUAACUACGUGCCAGCCGCCGCCGUAAUAC
rnacentral:rRNA from 1 species